UUUUCUACUUUCUUUUUGUGUUCCUUAAAUAGUUCUAGACUUUUGAUUUUCUACUAAUUAGAUAAACAUAACCAUAUAUAAAAAUUUAUUAAUAAAUAUGUGAAAAUAUUCUUUAUUUGUAUGUGUUUUUGCAUUGAAAAAUCCACAUAUAUCCUAAUGAAUAAUAUCAAUUAAUUCAGCCGCUCUAUUUCAAUUUAGAAAAGAAAAUCUAGACAUUUUAUCAGACGGGCAAUAUAUAUAUAUAUAUAUAUAUAUAUAUAU
rnacentral:lncRNA from 1 species